rnacentral:sRNA from 1 species
UACACAGUCCAGCCUGCUUGCGAUCA